rnacentral:tRNA from 1 species
GGAUAUAGCUCAGUGGUAGAGCACAUGCUUCACAUGCACAAGAUCCUGGGUUCAAUCCCUAGGACCUCCA